GACGCACCGUGCGAACGUUGUUCGGAAUCACUGGGCUUAAAGGGCGCGUAGGCGGGUUUGCAAGUCUGUGGUGAAAGCCUCCAGCUUAACUGGAGAAGUGCCGUGGAUACUGCGAAUCUUGAGGAGGGUAGGGGCGUCUGGAACGGUCGGUGGAGCGGUGAAAUGCGUUGAUAUCGACCGGAACUCCGGUGGCGAAGGCGGCUCACUGGCCCGGUACUGACGCUGAGGUGCGAAAGCGUGGGGAGCAAACAGG
rnacentral:rRNA from 1 species